rnacentral:tRNA from 1 species
UGGCUCAGUGGUAGAGUGCUUGCCUAGCACACAUGAAGCCCUGGGUUCAAUUCCUAG